GAAAGAGAGCUAGAAUCACCAGCCAGCCCCACAUAGACUUUGCACCAAAAAGCUGAAUGCCUUUGGUUCACAGCAGAGGGCACACUGUUCUCAAAAGGGAGAAAUACUUAUUUUGGCUAAAUCUCUGAAACCUGGGGAAGUUCAAGAACUCUAGAGAUAACAAGAUAUUCCAAGAAGGUGGGCCUUUUUUUUUUAAGUCUUUCUUUCCUUUUACAUGGCUCCAGGCUUUAAAAAAAAAAAAAAAAUAGAAAAAGGGAAGUUGCUUCUCUAGAGCGUAACCUCUCUCUACCCCAAGUUCCCAUGUGGCCAGUAGUGGCCAACGAGGACCUCUAAAGGAACUCAAAGAAAGUGAACAAAUAAACUCAACCCAGGAGUCAACACAGAAUCAGAGACAUGCAAAGACAUUCAAGAGUCAACAACCUGCCUGACACUAAUUCCCUAUUUAAAGCAAGAACACAUCAGUCAGAGGCAGAGAGGUGGCCAACCAUGGAAGCAGACAAAAAUCGGAGUCUAAGAAGCCACCCAGCUCCGCCCAAGGGAGUAUAAGCCCCACCGCCAAUUCACGCCUCCACAUGCCAUUGCCAAGUGUGAUGUUCCCAUGCAGGAUGGAGGAGUCAGGCUCCCCUCACAGGACACCUCUGGACACUAAUUCCACUGGCUAGCUCUCCUCACUGUGAUUCCUUGUUUACCUCGCACUCUCCUGCUUACCACCAAGCUUGCCUUGAAGUUUGCUAUACAGAGGAAAUCUGCUCGUCAAAGAGUGCCAGUGGUCUGGCACUUACACGUCUCACAGUAAAUCAUCAACUUGGCAUCUUACUAGAAGCCUGCCAAUUGCACCUGUCCCUGGGAGGUAGCCCUGCUCUGCUGGAGCUGCCAGUCUGUCUUUUGAGCCUGUUUUCAGAUGUACUGAAUUACUAGAGGAAGCCAGCUUCAUUAAUGCUAAAGUUCAAUGGGACAAGGAGCAGACCCUUCAUAGGUACCCUCACCAACCUAACAAGGCAACCGUCUAACACCUGCCCCUGAGGCCCUCCAGUCCAGAUACCAUGUUCUACCACUUGGCUGGACAAAGACCUUCAGCCUCCAGCUGGGCUUCUGCUCUCCCAUCUGGAACCCACCUCAAUCCAUUGCAGGUUCUGGUUCCUCCUUGAUCUGUCUUGCUGGAUAUCACUAGCCCACCCAUGCUCUGCCAGAACAUGACUAUGAGGGCUGGGAUCACGCUCUUUAUUCAACUCACUCAACAAACUUCUUGGGGGAAAGGAGAGCGGGAGGAAAAUGAUUCUCCCCCAAGACUUGGGGGUUGGUGGGGGGGUGGGGGAGGUGUGUGUCAGGCAAUUUUUUUGCACGUUAAUCUCAAUUUUUAUGUAGACAUUAUCAGCCAGUGAGUCCUCACUGGAGGAACCACCAAUGUGUUUUUCACCAGGGCCUGAACCCACUCUUAGAAGGCCCUGUGAAGAGUUAUGCCAUGCCAGCACAUCAUGCCCUCCACUUUGGCCCCAGUGCCAGCCCAUUGCAGGCAAAGAAGGGGAUCCCAAGGACUGUGACUAUGAGCCACUGUGAAAGUGUAUGGGAAAGGAGGAAAGGCUGAAGUUUUUAUCAUUUUUUUUUUCCAGUAGACAAACAUUUACCACCACCCCCACCUUUGGACAACGCAUGACUGUGCCAUCAGUCAUAAGAAUAAGCUCAGUGACUACGUUGGGGGAAUUUUAUAAACCCACAGAAGCCGGAAGCAGUGUUAUCAGGAGUACCCUUUGUCCAACAUCUUCAGCAGAUUUUCACAUGUCCUGGAAGGACAUAUCUCCUCUACAAUUCUCAAUCCUCAGUUUCCUGCGACAUAAAAUGGGGAUAAUACUGUAACCCCCAUACUACAUGCCAGCAUAAGCUCUCUUUUCCCUAGGACUGUUACGAGGAGGAAACAUCUUUAAAUGCGCAAAUUAUUUGGCACCAAAAACAAAAGUGUUCCCCAAAAUUAGUAAGUCUCAGAAAUGCCAAUUAUUUUGGAAGGGCAGAGCCACUGAUUUAGAGGCAAAUCUUCAGUCUUCUGGGAAGACUUCAUCUCCAGUUCUGCCACCACUUCUUGGCUAUUUAAUAUGGCACAAGUCUGGUAUUUCACGGUGUUCCACUGCAAAAUGAGAGAACACAUCUACUUUGGAGGGAGUUAUGCAUUAUAAAUGAGAUGACACUUGUCACCAUGAAACAUCAGAUAGCUUGUGCUCAGGUACAACUGAGGCCCUUUGUCUUUCACACAGCAGGAUUUCCUUAUUUAAAUACUGUACCAGUAAGACCAGAAAGACACAAGCUGCCCAAGAUCAGGGGGGCAUCCCAGGCUGGUAUCAGCUGGUACCAGCACCAGCAUGCUGUCCAUAUAUCACAGUGUGCUGCAUGGACCGUGAAGCCACCGGAGUUAUUUCCAAAAAAAGAAAAAGAAAAAAAGAAAAGAAAAAGGAAAAAGAAAGAAAAACAAAAAUAUGUCAGCUUCACUCACCAGCAGAUUGACACAUUCCUCCUUAGGGAGCACACACCUAGUUUUGGGUUUUUUUUUUGUAUUUUAUAUUCCAUAAAAUUUCAUAAAAUCACUUCAGGGCAUAAAUGCUGAUUACAAAGCACCUUAACUGAAAUAUAUUUUAAUGGCCCACAUUUUCCAGAACACACACACACACACACACACACACACACACACACACAAACAUAACUACAUCAAAUAUAAAAUGCCCAUCUGAAAGGCCACAAAUUUCACAUAAAUAUAGACAGGAGUUAGAAAAGAACAGAAGAGAACACAAAUCAUCGUUUUUUGCUCAAGGACAUUAGAUAUUUACGUUUGAAAAGACUAAGAAAGAUCAAAUUUUUAACUUUUCAGAGGUAACACUCAGACUGCUGACCAUCUUAUCUUCACCUCCAAACCACCUCCUUGUCAAGGAAGAAGUAAGAUUUAAACCACUUUCAAAAUGGCAAAGUCCUCUUCCUUCAGGACAGAGAACAAAACCAGUUUCCUUUCAGCCGGCGCACAACAUGUGCAUUUGGUAAAGCUUUUGAGACAAAAUUCUAAGGAUUUUACAAAGCACUUAGGGAACGAAUAGCCUUGUUUCACCUUGGUCCAAAAAUCUGACUCUUAGAAUUGAAAGAGACAUUCACCAUCAUCCAACCCAGGAUGCUUUCACACUGAAUUUUGGCUGCAAAAGCCUUAUUCAAAGGAAACCCUCCGGGAGCCCUAACCUGUAAGGAAGCUGCAAGUAGGCUUGUCCAGGAAGAAGUGGGAAGGCAGAACCCGGCUCAGUCUACCCCCAUCCAUUUCCCAGCAGAAAGCACCCUAAGCUCAUCUCCAGAAGCUUGGGGCUCAUGGAAACACAGUUGGAAAAUGAGUGAACACCCCAACCCUCAUACAACAGAAGAAGGACACUGAGGCCAAAAAAGCUGACAAGUAGCAACAGUCCAUUGGGCAAAUGGAGGAGGCCUGGUCAAACAUUAGAGGGGCUCAAAACAGCCACUUCCUGGCCUCCAAGCAGCUGGAGUGACUCUAUCACCCAUUUGAGGCCAAUAAGGCAUCAGAAGAAAUCUGCUAACAGUCGCUUUUCUGAUGAAAGAGACAAAGUAAGAAGAGAACUACUGGUGUUUCUUUUUCCUCCUCAUUCUUGUUGAGCCUCCUUAUUCUUAUUCUGUGAGGACAUGACGCCUAGUGUUACAACAGCCAUCUUCACACUAUGAAGUGCAAGCAGAAGACAAAAGGCCAACAUGCUGAGUAUGGAUGAGCAAAAGAGGAGAAAAGAGCUUGAGCUAUUUAAUGAAUCUGAAGCCACUUGCUCCUGACUUUGGUUAAGUAAACAAUAAAUGUCCUUAUAGUAAAAGGCAUUAUUCAUCAA